rnacentral:hammerhead_ribozyme from 1 species
GCACUGCUGACGAGUCCCAAACAAGACGAAACAGCCGUCGAUUAU